ACAGCAGCCGCCGCGGUAAAACGAAGGGUGCAAGCGUUACUCGGAAUUACUGGGCGUAAAGCGUGCGUAGGUGGUGGUUUAAGUCCGUUGUGAAAGCCCUGGGCUCAACCUGGGAAUUGCAGUGGAUACUGGGUCACUAGAGUGUGGUAGAGGAUAGUGGAAUUUCCGGUGUAGCAGUGAAAUGCGUAGAGAUCGGAAGGAACAUCUGUGGCGAAGGCGACUAUCUGGGCCAACACUGACACUGAGGCACGAAAGCGUGGGGAGCAAACAGGAUUAGAUACCCGCGUAGUCCCUGUCUCUUAUAC
rnacentral:rRNA from 1 species